GGGUUGUGAGGUUAAGCGACUAAGCGUACACGGUGGAUGCCCUGGCAGUCAGAGGCGAUGAAGGACGUGCUAAUCUGCGAUAAGCGUCGGUAAGGUGAUAUGAACCGUUAUAACCGGCGAUUUCCGAAUGGGGAAACCCAGUGUGUUUCGACACACUAUCAUUAACUGAAUCCAUAGGUUAAUGAGGCGAACCGGGGGAACUGAAACAUCUAAGUACCCCGAGGAAAAGAAAUCAACCGAGAUUCCCCCAGUAGCGGCGAGCGAACGGGGAGCAGCCCAGAGCCUGAAUCAGUGUGUGUGUUAGUGGAAGCGUCUGGAAAGGCGCGCGAUACAGGGUGACAGCCCCGUACACAAAAAUGCACAUGCUGUGAGCUCGAUGAGUAGGGCGGGACACGUGGUAUCCUGUCUGAAUAUGGGGGGACCAUCCUCCAAGGCUAAAUACUCCUGACUGACCGAUAGUGAACCAGUACCGUGAGGGAAAGGCGAAAAGAACCCCGGCGAGGGGAGUGAAAAAGAACCUGAAACCGUGUACGUACAAGCAGUGGGAGCACGCUUCGGCGUGUGACUGCGUACCUUUUGUAUAAUGGGUCAGCGACUUAUAUUCUGUAGCAAGGUUAACCGAAUAGGGGAGCCGAAGGGAAACCGAGUCUUAACUGGGCGUUAAGUUGCAGGGUAUAGACCCGAAACCCGGUGAUCUAGCCAUGGGCAGGUUGAAGGUUGGGUAACACUAACUGGAGGACCGAACCGACUAAUGUUGAAAAAUUAGCGGAUGACUUGUGGCUGGGGGUGAAAGGCCAAUCAAACCGGGAGAUAGCUGGUUCUCCCCGAAAGCUAUUUAGGUAGCGCCUCGUGAAUUCAUCUCCGGGGGUAGAGCACUGUUUCGGCAAGGGGGUCAUCCCGACUUACCAACCCGAUGCAAACUGCGAAUACCGGAGAAUGUUAUCACGGGAGACACACGGCGGGUGCUAACGUCCGUCGUGAAGAGGGAAACAACCCAGACCGCCAGCUAAGGUCCCAAAGUCAUGGUUAAGUGGGAAACGAUGUGGGAAGGCCCAGACAGCCAGGAUGUUGGCUUAGAAGCAGCCAUCAUUUAAAGAAAGCGUAAUAGCUCACUGGUCGAGUCGGCCUGCGCGGAAGAUGUAACGGGGCUAAACCAUGCACCGAAGCUGCGGCAGCGACGCUGAUGCGUUGUUGGGUAGGGGAGCGUUCUGUAAGCCUGCGAAGGUGUGCUGUGAGGCAUGCUGGAGGUAUCAGAAGUGCGAAUGCUGACAUAAGUAACGAUAAAGCGGGUGAAAAGCCCGCUCGCCGGAAGACCAAGGGUUCCUGUCCAACGUUAAUCGGGGCAGGGUGAGUCGACCCCUAAGGCGAGGCCGAAAGGCGUAGUCGAUGGGAAACAGGUUAAUAUUCCUGUACUUGGUGUUACUGCGAAGGGGGGACGGAGAAGGCUAUGUUGGCCGGGCGACGGUUGUCCCGGUUUAAGCGUGUAGGCUGGUUUUCCAGGCAAAUCCGGAAAAUCAAGGCUGAGGCGUGAUGACGAGGCACUACGGUGCUGAAGCAACAAAUGCCCUGCUUCCAGGAAAAGCCUCUAAGCAUCAGGUAACAUCAAAUCGUACCCCAAACCGACACAGGUGGUCAGGUAGAGAAUACCAAGGCGCUUGAGAGAACUCGGGUGAAGGAACUAGGCAAAAUGGUGCCGUAACUUCGGGAGAAGGCACGCUGAUAUGUAGGUGAAGUCCCUCGCGGAUGGAGCUGAAAUCAGUCGAAGAUACCAGCUGGCUGCAACUGUUUAUUAAAAACACAGCACUGUGCAAACACGAAAGUGGACGUAUACGGUGUGACGCCUGCCCGGUGCCGGAAGGUUAAUUGAUGGGGU
rnacentral:rRNA from 1 species